UGCGAGGGGUUCAGUUCGAUACCGGACGCUACAAGGGAUGCGUCACUUCCGGUGCCGCUUUUCUCACGCCGCGAAUUUUCUCUAAGUCUCGUGGGCAACACAGAAAGAGAGCAAACUUUUGCUGCACACCUGCGCGACAAUGAUAUCAAAACGCUCUUCGAACGCGUGUGCUACCAACGUGAGGGACAAUUUCAACAAAUUUUCACACGUUGCACCCAACACCGGAACAAAAACAACUCAUUUUUGAAAAUUGGAAGCUGAACAGCGCACAUUUCCAUCGACUCUUUAUUCAAGGAGUAGCUUUACUUUUCCUGUGCAGUUAAGCUAAGCCUGCGAUAAUACCGAGUUGGGCUUUACAUUAAAGUACAGCUCGAAAUUAUACGAGCUAUAAAUUUAUAUUCGAGUUAAUGUUUAUUAAAUCAAAUAGCUUAAUAAAGACUCAUAAUAAUUUCAUGCGAUAUUCGAGAGUAACAAGAAAAAAAAAUGUUUCUUAAAUGGUGAAUUUGAAAAGAAAGAUAAAACUCGUAUAUGACAAUAUGGAGGUUUAGACUGUGGUCGAGGAAACUGGAGUGGCGAGACCGAAAGUCACCAACAUGAGGAAAAGAAGGCUGAUGAGGAUUCGUAGGUGAAGCGGAAGACAUCGGAGAAUUUAUCGAACGACCAGUUAGCGGGUGUGCUUUUGGAGUGAGAUUGGUUAUCAGGGCCCAUGGCCCGGUGCUGGUUGCGCCAGUGCUGGUGGUGGUUCUUGCUUGUUACCUUCCUCGGAUGGUUUCUUCUUCCAAUUACUAAUUCGUCCAUGGAUUUGGAGACAAGUGCUGAGAUUUUAGUCUUUUUACCAGAAAUUUGCAAUCGUGACUUCAAUACAUCCGUCGUACAAGAUUUUUUAACAUCGCGGAGUCAAAAUUUGUCCAUUGCUAUGAUUUCCAAAUCACAAACCUGCGAAACCCGUUCUUGGGGUCUUGGAGCAUUGGUUCAAGCCCUUGAGCAAAAUACGACGAAAGCUUUGAUCGCAGACCUUAAUCCAAACACCUGCGAUGUUGCUAUGAAACUUGCUCAUCUUUGGAACAAACCGUUGCUCACAUGGAAUUGCCCUCAGAGAGCGCAAGAGGAUGCAGAAUUUUCGUCAAUCAUUAGACUUUCGCCUUCUCUGUUAACAAUGGCUAACUCGAUAACAGAAAUGUUUCGGCAUUUUCGAUGGAAAUCGGUGGCGAUUAUAAGUUCAGAUGAUAUUUUAUGGUCGAAUUUGGACAGAGCUGUUGUCGGAGCUUUGGGAAAUAUUGGUAUCGUGCCUAGACAUCGUAUUGUCCUACAAUAUUCCGAUAGUCCCAAGCAAAUUCAGGAUUCCUUAAGACCUUUGAUCACAAUUCCAUGUAGAGCCGUACUUUUUUGUUUGCCCCUGGAGAAUAACUAUACGAGUCGCAUACUGGUCGAGAUGGACGCGAUACUUCAAGAGUCUCGCCUGUCACAUCCCGUGAUCAUAUUAAUUCAACCUGUAAAUUCGGACUUCUUUAUCCCUGAAAAUAUUUCGACAGCAACCACCACCCUUCCAAUUUUGGUGCCGUUCACGAGCUCCCCUCAGUCUUCCAAUUUUUCUAUCCCGAACGUAUCUGAUGCUCAGUCGAACGAACCACAACGAUCGAAGGGAGGAGAGUCGUCCAGCCGAUUUAAACCACCGACGAAUUUGAGCAAAGCCAUGCUGACCAAUCUACUGGCCGUUGUACCUGUCGAUCAAACAUACGAUGUGCAAAGGAUAUUCAGUGGUAGGUCAGAUUUCACAGUGCCAAAUAUAUUUGAGCAUUUAGAGGAAUCAUUGGAAAUUUUAAUUCGUGACAACACGAGUUUAAAUCAAUGGAACAACAAAAUGUUUACUUUUGCAUUACUGAAUCUCAACGAGAAUGAUUGGGAACCAAUUUUAAUUGUCUUUGAACAAAGGGAACAACUCGUCAUUAAGGAAAUUGUUCAAAACACAUUUGCCGACGAUGAGAUCAUUGUACUUUGCGAAAAUCAAGGCGAAUGCUCCUAUGGCGACCUACCAGGAAUACCAUUACGAACUGCACAUAUCGUAGCUAUUAUAAUGAGUUCUCUUCUAUUUGGCCUCAUCGCCAUUGUUACCGCGGCGUUGAUACGGAGGCAUUUAAUGAAAAAAAGAAUGUCGAAGGGUCCGUACAAGAUAAUCUUGACAACUUCUGACUUUGUUUUCCCGCAAGUACCCGAUCCGAGAAGGGUUGAUGAGGGGAUAGAAGCGAUGUUGUGUUGUUGGUUGCAGCAGCUGCAAGACUUUGGAGGACCGGAGGUGGAAAAACCAGAUCUUCUACAAGGAAGCGUUGGAUCGUUGAGGCCACAUCUACAAGCUAGUAAUGGAAGUCUUGCGAGGCAUGCAAUUCUCAAUGACCCUCGAGUUAGAUAUAAUGGUGACUUGGUGCAACUGAAGGAACUGCAGAUCCAGGGGACCUUCGAGCUGAAGAGCAAAGCCAUUGAUGUGCUGGUCACGAUCCAUGGACUUCGUCACGAGAACCUGAACCCACUGAUCGGAUGUCUGAACGAACCGACGAGACCGUGUCUGGUGUCUGAAUUUUGCUCCAGAGGCUCACUGGAAGACGUUCUGGUCCAGGAUGAAAUCAAGCUCGACUGGUCCUUUAGGCUCUCUCUUCUCACGGAUCUAGUUCGAGGUAUGAAGUACCUUCAUAGUACUCCUGUACGUGUUCAUGGGUUUCUCACAUCAAGAAAUUGUGUCAUUGAUGCACGUUGGGUUCUCAAAGUCGCCGAUUAUGGUCUUCCGGCCUUUUACGAGGCCCAGAAUGCCAUUACGCCGAUAAAAACUGCUCGGGACUUGCUUUGGACAGCUCCGGAAUUGCUGAGGCACGCAGGCCUUAGAAAGAGAGGAACUCAAGCGGGGGAUGUGUACAGUUUUGGUAUCAUCAUGCAAGAAGUCGUUGUCCGUGGAGAGCCUUUUUGCAUGUUAGCUCUGUCACCGGAAGAUAUAAUUGAAAAGGUGAAAAAACCACCGCCAUUAAUCAGGCCCUCGGUCAGUAAAGGCGCAGCACCACCGGAAGCUAUCAACAUCAUGCGUCAAUGUUGGGCCGAAGCUGCAGACAUGCGACCUGACUUCAAUGCUGUUUAUGAUCUUUUUAAAAAAUUAAAUCACGGAAGGAAAGUAAACUUUGUGGACACGAUGUUUGAAAUGUUGGAAAAGUACUCGAACAAUCUUGAGGAACUAAUUCGCGAGAGGACAGAGCAGUUGGACAUGGAAAAAAAGAAGACUGAACAGUUGCUGAACCGUAUGCUGCCAGCUUCAGUGGCGGAAAAGUUAAAACUAGGAAUGCCAGUGGAUCCCGAGGAAUUUCGAGAGGUCACUAUUUAUUUUUCUGACAUCGUCGGUUUUACGACGAUCUCUGCUUAUUCUACACCUUUUCAAGUUGUUGACCUACUAAACGACUUGUACACUUGUUUUGAUGCGACGAUAAACGCCUACACAGUUUAUAAGGUGGAAACAAUAGGAGAUGCUUACAUGGUUGUCGGUGGAUGUCCUGUAAGGAUACCUGAUCAUGCGUCUCAAGUUGCAACAAUGGCAUUAGAUCUUCUUCAUCAAAGUGGAAAAUUCAAACUAAAGCAUUUGCCGAAAACUCAAUUACGCUUGAGAAUUGGCCUUCAUACUGGACCCUGUUGUGCAGGGGUCGUUGGUCUGACAAUGCCAAGAUAUUGCCUGUUUGGUGAUACGGUAAACACAACAUCUAGAAUGGAGUCCACCGGAGCACCAUGGCGAAUUCAUAUGAGCCAAGCAACAAGAGAUCGAUUAACGCAAGUUGGCGGAUACUACAUUGAGUAUCGAGGAAGAACAGACGUAAAGGGUAAAGGGAAGAUGCCAACAUACUGGCUUCUCGGAAAGCAAGGCUUCGACAAAGAGCUUCCGACACCGCCGCCUCUUGGAGAGGAUCAUCGACUCGAGGAAAGUCUGAUACUGGGAAGUCUGGUGAAUCAAGACGCCGAUUUGGGAAGUCCAAAACAUCCAUCGCCAAUAGCUGAGGACGUGAGUUUUGAGGAGAAUAAUUCCCUGGAUAAUUUGCCAGCGAUCGAUCAAGAAUCAUUGUCGUCGGUAAAAAUAACCGCGAGUGAUAAUAAUACGUGUGUGGAUAAAGUGGACACGAAAAAAGUAGCGGUCUCCGUCCAUAAUGAGAGAACAUUGACGUAUAGCUAUUCGUUAAAAUCAAGCGAAGUUAUUGACACACCAAAAGACAUUGUAAAGACGCCAGACUAUAGUAGUGCAACAAUUACAAAAAGUACAUCCGGUGACAAUCAAACGAAUCUGGCAACUCCAGUUUCCGCUGCGGAAGUUGCUGCCGCUCUUUUGGGAGCAUCGACAACGUCACUCGCCUCCGUGCCAGGAACAAAUUAUCGACGACACAGAAGAGUCGGUGUCUUCGAUCAAGAUGAUCUCAGCACUCCUUAUAAUCAUUAUCGAUGUCUUUCGCCCAAUGAUCAUGGGAAAAAUUCCGCGUGUCGAUUACUUAAAAGACAGUUCAGCUUGGAUCGUGCAGAUGAGCCAGCGAUAAUAGUGCCCGACCAACACUCUCAGAGAAUAGCUCCACGAUUGAACAAGCAAAACAGUGCUGGAGCUGCGAAUGACUUGGAGAGAAUAGAAGAGGUUCCAUCCACUCCUGGCCCUCAAGUAUAUCGUCAUGCUUCCAUGUCUCUAUCUGUCGAAUCCCUGACUAUGCAGUAGACCAAAAAAAAAUCAUCUUCACUCCUCGAAUUUCCUGUUCGAAAUUGAAAAUGGAAGGAAGAGAGUGAAAGAGAGAGAAUAUAAGGAACGCGUUAAGUUCUACCCCUUUGUCUCCCAAAUUUUGAACCCCAUUUUCGGUUAACACGUCGUUCGGUAGUGUUUAAAAUUUUUAAAUUCACGAAGAGAGUUGGUAUUUUUUGUGACCGAAGAACGGAGUUCGGAACAGGCUGAGGUAUUGAUCACUGUAAAGGAUGGAAAGGAGUCUGCAGAUGAAAGAACCUUGGUCCCUACAUAGUCGCCUCUGAUCUUGCCAAAAAUGUUCCAGAAACGGUUGAUGCAGUUACGGGUGAAGAGACAACAUACGGACAAAUGGCAGAAAAUAGUGUUCGUUGUGCAUUGUGGUUAAAAAAGCAGGGAAUUAAUUCUCACGAUGUUGUAUUCACCAAUUGUUAUAAUCGUCUGGAUUCUUAUAUAAAACAAUUGUGGAGGGUCUUCUAAUUCACACUAUGAAGAAGGAAGGGGAAAAACCUAAUGAUAUAUCAUUGAUUUACUUGGCUGAUCGCUUUAUUGGCUGAUUUCCCUAAGAGUAAU